GGUACGGUAGCUCAGUCGGUAGAGCACAGGACUGAAAAUCCUGGUGUCGGCGGUUCGACCCCGCCCCGUACCACCA
rnacentral:tRNA from 1 species